AGGAUUUUUUUUAAUGAAAAUGACGUAAGAAUUCCAUCUACAUCACUGUACAAUAAUCUAGCCCUAUUCGUUUAUGCAAAUUCAAGAACUAGUUAUUGUAAGACAGAUUCAGCCUUUAUGUAAAUCACUGUCACGCUGUUAUGUUUAAAGUGUGGGUUCAAAUGUAACAUUCAUUCAUUUAAACGAUCAUUUAUAGAACAAUAAGUGAUAUACCUAUGACAAAAAUACAAAACAUUGGGACACAAUGCAAGAACUAGCUGCCAACACGAGGGUUCAUUUCUUUCUGGAAACGUUUCCCAUAAAAAUACAUUUUACAUUGAUUUCUGUCUUGAAAUGUUUGACUUGGUAAACUGUAUGAAUUCAUUUAAAACGAUCUCUUUUAAAAAUGAAAAAAGUGAGACCCGUGAACGCGCACUUCCGUGACAGUACUGCACUUUAACCUCUCUCAACAACUUCCUAUGAUACAAAGACGAAAUGGCAGCCUCCUUAAAACGCAUUGAAAUAAUUAUCUGCUUACAUCGAAAUAUUCAAUCACAUGUUGGUUGGUUGCAGACAAAAUAUUUUAAUUUAUAUAUCCUGUAUAAGUAAACAUACAUGCUGUUGUCCACUCAUUUCGCGUCCAAACAUCCUCAACAUAAAGGACACAUUACUCGUUUUAUAUUGCAGAGAUCUGUGAUUUUAAAAUAACUGCUCCAGUGCUGGGUCUGAAUGUUCGUGCUUUAUCAUCUUCAUCAUCUGCUGAUGACACAGAUGUGCUGUCUAGAUAUUCAGACAGACCAUGGGAAUACAUAGAAAUUAAAGAGUACACUGAGCGAUAUGGAUCAAAGCCUGUGUAGUCUAACUAAAGGAGGAACCAUAAGGGGGGUGUCCCUCCUCAAAACACAAUAAAGACCUGUAUCUUAAGUAGGACACAUUUGUUUUUAAUUUUAAUUGAUUUUUCAGAUGAUUUUUUUUCUCAGUCCAUUAAGUUUGUGUCUUGUCAUAGAGAGGUGGUAAUAUAUGCCGCCGUGUCCCAUCUGUCGUGAUCCAAACAUCAUUGUCCAUUAAAAGAAUGUGAACCUGUUGCAGCAGUUCAUUAGUCCUCAAACAGGAAUAGUGUAUGAUUCCACUCAAACCGGUGAUUCGUUUCUUUACUUUGAAUACAUUAAAGAGUCACAUUUCUGGUACGAUCAUAAUCUGAUUAGCUCUUUUCACCUUUAAUUGUUUCUUCAGGUGUGUAUGAAACAACAGAAACUACUUAACAAGGCCAUUGAAACUGCUAGAGAUUGUGGUAAACAGACACUUUUUUUCUUCUUUUUAUUGGUUUAAGUGCCAAUGUGCAUAAACAGGUCCUUCUAUUAAAAAAAAAAAAAAAUCUAACUCGUUAUAUGCUGCACAUGCACUUAAUGUAAUGUUCUUUUUCCUCCUCCUUUGGUGAAGUGGAUCUACAAAGACUACCUGAAACCAAACAUUUAAAUCCUGUUGUAAAAGACCUUAGUCAGAGCAGUUGCUGUGUAUUUGACAUGAGAGACAGGCAGUUAGGAAUAGACUUCCACAAUGGCAGAUCCUUAAUUUUAAAACUCAUUUAUGGCGUUAUGUCUACUGUAAGAAUUUUUGGAAAAACAUUUAAUCAAAUGAAAAAUCUGUAUUUUGUCAAACAGCAGAACUGAUUAAACGCAGUGUACUUCUCUCCCUCACAAACUCAUUUUCAUUCCUGUCAGAAAUGACAUAUUGUGUUACCGCGACUAAGCUACAUUUAAAUUGGAAGUUUGAUCCAAAUGAUGUUUCCAUAAUAGUACGUUCACGAGCAUUUUCCAUUCAUGUUGUUACAUUUUGUCCAAGCAUAAUAUACAAAAUCUCUAAUAAAGUUAACUGUUGCAAAAAAAAAGAAAAUAAAUUUUUUUGGAUGCAUACUUUAUAUUCAAAUCAAGUCAGUCAAUAGUUUAUUUCAUUAUUCAACACAGAUGAGCUACAGGAAGCAUCACUGUAUGAAUAUUUACAUAGGCUAAACAACUAGGAGCUUGUUCUGAAUGUGAGCUUUAAUGACCUGAACCCAAGCGCUCAUUCUACAAAGGCAGUUUAAUACUAAAUAUAUGCAUCAGACAUCAUCAUCAAACUGCACCCUUUUAACCCCAUCUGUUCACAUUUGAUGGUGACAUUGUGUGUUUUAGAGCAUUGCAUCACAUGGAUGAACAGAGUUGGUAAUGAUACGGCCAGAAGCUAAGCAUAAUACAAGAAUGUCAGACAUCAUGACUAAAGAACAAGAGCUGUACCUGCAGUACAAGUUGUCAGCAAGUAAAAAUACAGAUCUUUAAUCGGUCUUCACCUGCUUUAAAA